GUAUACCUGGAAGACAAGAAAAAAUAAAACCAACAGCGUUUAGGUACAUUUACAAGAAACAAAAAAAGGAAGGAAGGAAGGAAGGAAGGAAGGAAGGAAGGAAGCUGUAAAAGUACAGGAUUCUUCUCCAGUAACAGGCUGAAAGUCAAUAUAUAAAUAGUAAUCUGUUUUCCUUUGGAGACAGAGGGAAGAUGAUAUGCCUAAUACACCAUGGGAGUUAAAACAGCAAUACAUUGAAUACAUCGGCCCUGAUUCAACUAACCUGGUGUGUUAACAAAAGCCAUCACAACGGCUCCCUUUAGUGCUGUGUGGACAUUUCUCUUCCCAAAUCCACGCUGGAAAGCCAGGUAAACCCCAAGAACAACAUGAGGAAGGAGGAGGGGGGAUUUUCCGUCUUGCAGCAAUGAAUGCUUGCACACACAGAAUGAACAGAAGAGCGCAAGUUGAAUUCCUCCCACAGUAAGCCACUACAACAGGCCUAGCCUAGUGCACAGUAAUUGAUUUCAUAUAUUUGUUGCCAUUUUAAACUGUUUUAUAUAUAGUUGUUUUUAUAUAUGCAAUUGUUUAAACUGUUUUAUAUAUGUUUUAUUGUACUGCAAAUCACUCCAGGAUGCCUUUUCAGUAGCAAUUCAUAAAUGCAAACAACAACAACCAGAUAUGAUUCUAGGCAUAUGGAAGCUAACUUAUCUUUAAAAAGGCACCCCAAUGUAGUGAUUACUACAUACAGUAGCUAGCAGAGUUCAAAAAAUGUGUUUAGGUAUUCCCUCCUGUUCUGUAACAAAAAAUAACCCAAUAUAUGAAAGCAAACUGCAUGCAAAUACUUAAAAGUCAGAUUCGGGGGGGGUAACCCCCCAUGAAUUUCUAAACAAAUAUUCAGGGCACAGUUCGAAAUAUACUUACUAAGGAGAAAGAUCUAGUCAACACGGCAGGACUUAUUAUUAAGUAAACAUAGUCACUGCUGUAUAGUUUCAAACCCACUGUACACGUGCAGGCUGGCUUGGAUCGAUACUAAAUUAGUCUGUUCAAAUUGUAAUCAAUAUGACUUAAAUCCCAUUGCUUUCAAUGGUAAUCAAGCGCAACUAACCUAGUCUGGCUCCAGCCCAAUGUUUGGGAAACUGAGCCUUUUAGCAAGGUUGACUCAAGUGUACAAGGCUGUGUCAAGAGCAGGAGGGUUGAACACCUAUAUGUAUCAUGAGUUAUGCAGCAGAAAAGAAGGGAAGAAAACUUUAGGAACUUUAGGAAUUAUUUAUAUAAUUCAGCAGUGGAAACCUGUGGCCAAUGGCUGUAAAUGAUUAGAGAUGUAGCCUAGCAACACAAACUGCAGGCUCCCUCUGCUCAUUCAUGUAAGGCUUAGCUAUAGUUUAGCAUUGCAUCCAAAAUGGGCUAGCUUUUCUCCAGCUAAUAUUAUCCUCCAAUGCUAUGUCCUUUGGGAAAGCAUCUCAGGGGCCAUAGAGUGUUUCAGACCUCCCACUCCAAGGGUGGAGAGAGAGAUUUGACUCCAGA